rnacentral:rRNA from 1 species
GACGAACGCUGGCGGCGUGCCUAAUACAUGCAAGUUGAGCGCUGAAGGUUGGUACUUGUACCGACUGGUUGAGCAGCGAACGGGUGAGUAACGCGUGGGGAAUCUGCCUUUGAGCGGGGGACAACAUUUGGAAACGAAUGCUAAUACCGCAUAAAAACUUUAAACACAAGUUUUAAGUUUGAAAGAUGCAAUUGCAUCACUCAAAGAUGAUCCCGCGUUGUAUUAGCUAGUUGGUGAGGUAAAGGCUCACCAAGGCGAUGAUACAUAGCCGACCUGAGAGGGUGAUCGGCCACAUUGGGACUGAGACACGGCCCAAACUCCUACGGGAGGCAGCAGUAGGGAAUCUUCGGCGAUGGACGAAAGUCUGAACGAGCAACGCCGCGUGAGUGAAGAAGGUUUUCGGAUCGUAAAACUCUGUUGGUAGAGAAGAACGUUGGUGAGAGUGGAAAGCUCAUAAAGUGACGGUAACUACACAGAAAGGGACGGCUAACUACGUG